AGGAUGAACGCUGGCGGCGUGCUUAACACAUGCAAGUCGAACGAUGAAGGCUGGAGCUUGCUCUGGCUGGAUUAGUGGCGAACGGGUGAGUAACACGUGAGUAACCUGCCCCAGACUCUGGGAUAAGCGCUGGAAACGGCGUCUAAUACCGGAUACGAGCUUCCACCGCAUGGUGAGGAGCCGGAAAGAAUUUCGGUCUGGGAUGGACUCGCGCUAUCAGCUUGUGUGAGGUAAUGGCUCACCGAAGGCGACGAUCCGUAACUGGUCUGAGAGGAUGAUCAGUCACACUGGAACUGAGACACGGUCCAGACUCCGUACGGGAGGCAGCAGGUGGGGAAUUAGUUGGACAAGUGGGACGAAAGCCUAGAUCCAGCCAUCGCCGCGUGUGUAGG
rnacentral:rRNA from 1 species